GCCCCUGUAGCUCAGUUGGUAGAGCAGCUCACUUGUAAUGAGAAGGUCGAGGGUUCGAUUCCUUUCGGGGGCACCA
rnacentral:tRNA from 2 species